GCGAGGAGCCCAUGCUGUGGGACUUCCCGGGAGCAGACGCUAUGGACCAGGUGUAUAAACUACUACCCCUCUGCCCAAGUUGCAUCUCAUCAAUAACAUAUUGGAGUUCUGAUUGAACAAACACCACCCAGGGCCCAUUCAUCAUCAUGUCAGGACUCUUUCCUCCACCCACCAGCUAUGGCUCCAUAGAGAGACUCCAUUGUCAAGUGUACUUCAAAAAACAGUCUCUUCUGAUGGCCUUUUCAAUCCAUUCAGCUGCUGGUACUGUCCCCCCAGAGAAUAAAUGCUGCAGUGAGAAGGCUGAAGUGACAGGAGGAAACAAAGACAAGAGGAGAUCUGGAUGACCUGUCUGGAUAAAACCAGUGGAAAAGGUCUCACAGAAAAUCCCAAGAAGACGCAGAAUACAGCUACUACAAUGAUCAGCACAACGGAGACCAUCUUACGAGAGAUAAUUGAUACUGUUGAAUAGUGUCAGGCCUAGUACUGACAUCUAGAGAACCUUACUCGAAGUACCCCAUUCAAUGGU